GUGGUUGCCGGGGGGGUGCUCUCUACUAGUGCUGUGCAGAGGCUUUCACUGAGGCUGCUGUGAGACCGUAGAGUUUCCCCUGGGCCACGGAGCUGG
rnacentral:pre_miRNA from 1 species